GCGGACGGGUGAGUAAUGUCUGGGAAACUGCCUGAUGGAGGGGGAUAACUACUGGAAACGGUAGCUAAUACCGCAUAAUGUCGCAAGACCAAAGUGGGGGACCUUCGGGCCUCAUGCCAUCAGAUGUGCCCAGAUGGGAUUAGCUAGUAGGUGGGGUAACGGCUCACCUAGGCGACGAUCCCUAGCUGGUCUGAGAGGAUGACCAGCCACACUGGAACUGAGACACGGUCCAGACUCCUACGGGAGGCAGCAGUGGGGAAUAUUGCACAAUGGGCGCAAGUCUGAUGCAGCCAUGCCGCGUGUGUGAAGAAGGCCUUCGGGUUGUAAAGCACUUUCAGCGGGGAGGAAGGCGAUGAGGUUAAUAACCUCAUCGAUUGACGUUACCCGCAGAAGAAGCACCGGCUAACUCCGUGCCAGCAGCCGCGGUAAUACGGAGGGUGCAAGCGUUAAUCGGAAUUACUGGGCGUAAAGCGCACGCAGGCGGUCUGUCAAGUCGGAUGUGAAAUCCCCGGGCUCAACCUGGGAACUGCAUUCGAAAC
rnacentral:rRNA from 1 species